UUUGUUAGCACAUAUUAGUCUCAUGGUGAAAAAUUGCAAUUGUGGUGCAAGUUACUACAAGGAAAAAAAUUGUUUGUCGUGGUAAUCUUUAAUCAAAAUCUGAGAAGUUACUUCCGGUCUACAAUGACGUUCCUUCUCUGAUGACGUCAGUUUGACGGCUUAGGUUAUAGAUGCUUAAACCACUCCCCUCCAACCAUUAGUCUGCUAUGAGCGAGAGAUUGUAAAGGACAAGACGUUACCUGUUUUAUUAUUGUAUCUUAGCUCCAUUAUAAUUGUUGAUUUCUUAGUGUGUAGUGUGUAAAUCACUUGUAGUACCACUAAGAGCAGUUUGAGGGCGCUAGUGCCGGGAGGUAACCAGGCAUAUAAGCUUGGCCACCAUAGAAUAAGUAGCUGUUUGGUAGAGGGAAGCCUCAUGGUUUGAACUCAAGUUACCUUCUUGCUCAUUUAAAGUCCUUUGAGAACUCUGUGUUUCUGCUCAACUAAAGGACUUUUUUUAUGUCAUGUGUGUCGUAUCAUGGUGUUCAUUGUGAGAGAACUUAAUGGUAAUAGGAGACCUUGAAGUCCAGUUUAAGUCAAGCUGGUAGGUAGGCUACAGCACAUGGCCUUAACUCACACAGUGGGCGACUCAACAAAUGACGUUGAACGAUUAUCUCACUCAUGGUGGAUCAUAGGACUUCAAACAUUGCAUCGCACUCAAAUAACCUUGUGGAUAUAAAGCUCAUUUCAUCUUCAUCACUUCAACUCAAGCACCUAAGUUUACUUCACCUCACUGACUCAUUUAAAAGAGAAAGCUGGCUUAAGUUUAUUCAUUGACUUUGUGGCACAUGUAAAUAAGCACUUGUGGGGAUAAUAAAAUGGGUUUAAAAGAUCA